ACUACAGCGAAUUGGGCCAAGCCCAACCUUCCUAAUCAAACCCGGUUUCUCUCCUUUCAUUCUCAUUUCUCGACCUGAACGAAACUAAGCGCUCUCUUCUCUUCUCAUUUCUCUCCACCUCAACCACCGCCGCCAACCACCGACAUCGGCCCGUUUGACCAAAAGAAAUUGUAUGAAUUUUUGUAACAAUCCAUUUUAAACUACUGUUGUUGUUGUUGAUCUCUUGGCAAAUUUCCAUGGUAUCAUUGAUUCGAUUCGAUUCAUACUUCGAAUUGGGCCAAGCCCAACCUUCCUAAUCAAACCCGGUUUCUCUCCUUUCAUUCUCAUUUCUCGACCUGAACGAAACUAAGCGCUCUCUUCUCUUCUCAUUUCUCUCCACCUCAACCACCGCCGCCAACCACCGACAUCGGCCCGUUUGACCAAAAGAAAUUGUAUGAAUUUUUGUAACAAUCCAUUUUAAACUACUGUUGUUGUUGUUGAUCUCUUGGCAAAUUUCCAUGGUAUCAUUGAUUCGAUUCGAUUCAUACUUGCAGCAAAGGUUCCCAUGAGAGAUAUGUUCGAUGAUAAAUUGCUUUCAAAAGUACAAUCUCAACUGGAGAAGAUGGUGGCCAACACGUAUCACUAAAGAAGCUUAUGGGUCAUAUAUAUUGGCAUAUAAUGCACAUUCUGUGAAGGGAAUAUUCAAUGCUCACUGCCUUCAUUUAAAUUUUUAAUAGGUUCGGUUAUUCAAUAGGUCUUGUAUAAGUGUGAAUGGACUUGACGAUAAUUCGAUUACUCCAUCGGAAAAUUUACCAAUUCCACACUCUACCAGAGUCAAGAAGUUGGCGGUAAGUUAUGGAAACCCCAAUGUGGUAUGGAGUGGCAGUGAAGAUGGAACCUUAAGACACCAUGAUUUCUGGGAAGAUACGUCUUGUUCUUCUCAUCUUCUGCAGGAUCAUCACACCAAGAGUCUCACAAUGUUCUGGUGAUUGUGGAGAAAGCUUGAAGAAAUGACAUUGCUAAGAAGUAGUCCAUUGGGUGAUACAAAAUCACGGGUAGGUUCUGAUAUAUGCAGCUAUAAAGGAUUCUACUGAAAAAAUCCAUCAGCAAUGGAGCUGAUUUUGAUUUUGUGGAGCUAAAGAAGCAAUAGUUCUAAAAGGAGUUAUGAGUAGGCAUGAUGAAACAAAAACAUGAAGAUCACCAAUCCGCGUUGUGUGUGUGGCAGGAGGAUAUGGUCUCAGCCAGCUCAUUGUGUUUGUUCUAAAUUGUCUCCAAAUCCAACCAAAAGCAGCAGAAAUGCUGGCGAAGGGCAAUCCAGCUGCAUAAGUAAAUCUGCAACCAUGGAUUAGACACAAAAAUAUAUGCAGCAAUAGAAAUUAUUAAACAAAAGCAUUUGAGAAAAUGGCACAAAAUGCAAGAAUGGCUGCGGAAGCUUAUCGCACUGCAAAUCCACAUUUUAUAUCAAAAGUCACUAGGGGAAAUAAUGCGUUUAUUGAUUCUACUUUUGCUUCACGCCAUCUGAAUGAAAAUGUUUCUAUACUGCUCCGAAAUUCUGAUGGACAAGAGUGGGAAGAUUCUGCGGAAAUGUUUCGUAAGGAUUCACAUCAAAUGAAAUUCAAAAAAUUUCAUAUAUUCAAAAAUGAUAACUAUCUGUGUCAAGAAGAUUACUGUGCAUUUGAACUGAUCCAGAUAAAUCCAGUGGUUCUAAAUGUCAUAAUGUUUCGUGUGAAUGACUAUGAAAAUUAACAAAUUAUAAAUUUUUGAAUCGUACGAACGAGAUAUGAACUUUUAUGAGUUGGGUUGAAUCUAUUAUUGUACCUUCAAUUUCGAACAUGUGAAGUUGUCUCAUAUUAGUUCAUGUAAUAAUUAUUUUACUAUUAGAUUAACUAGUAUUUGGAUUCAUGCGAUGCAUGAGAAAUUAAUUAUCUUAAUGACUAAUAUUUAUAAUCUA